AAUAACCUAUUUUUAUAUAUUAUUUAUAUUUGGUAAAUGAAGCAAAAGGCUAUUGUAUAUCAUUGGUAGCCUAUCAAAUAUCUAGUUUUAAAUUUAGCAAACAUAGUGGUCUUAAAUUUGGCUAAUAUUUAUUGAUCAUCUACUGUAUGUUAGGAAUUGUUUUAAGUGCUGGGGAUAUAGCUGUGAACAAAACUGACCAAUUCCUGCCUUUAUAGAACUUACAUUCUUUUUCUUUGAGAUGGUGGGAAUUGGGAAUGAAAGCCUACUUCAGAUGGGGUUUCAGAGAGAUUGGGAGGAGAGACAUUGAGUUUAGACAUUUCUUUCAAAGAAAUCUGUAGGAAAGAGGAGAAGAGAAGUAGAGCUGUAUCAGAAAUGGAGAUGAGGAUUUGGGGGAGUUUUCUUUUAAGAUACAAGAAUUUAAUUUUUAUGAUGAUGGGAUCUAGGAGAAUGAGAAAUUAAUAGUGCACUUUCCUUGAAGAGAGGUUGGCCCUGUCUAUGAAUAUAGACUUCAUUUACAAGAAUAGGAGGGAAGGCAGACUAUUAUAGAUGUUUAUGAUGACAGUUUCUCAAAUAUGGAAGGAACUUGUAGAAUUUUUCUUUUGAAUACUUUUAUUUUCUAAAUGAAAUAGGAAGCAAGUUCAGAGUGAAGAUUGGAAAGGAAUGUUAGAAAUUUGAGGACAGAGGACAAAUUAUAAAAUAGUUUUCUAUAGAUUUGAAAGACUAGACUAGGGUAGAGGCCAGCAAACCAUGGCUUGUAGGUCAAAUUCUGCCUUCUGUUUUUGUAGAAUAACAAAAUUAAUUUGUAAAUAAAUUUAUAUUAUAACACAACCAUUUAUCUUUUGUCUAUGAUUGCUUUCCCACCAUAAUAGCAGAAAUUAGUAGUUGUUUUUCUUUCUUUAAUCCUCACCUAAGGAUAUGCUUUUGAAUUUUAGAGAGAGGAAGAGAGAGAGAGAGAGAGAGAGAGAGAGAGAGAGAGAGAGAGAGAGAGAGAGAGAAGUAUCAGUGUGUGAGAGAAAAAUCGAUGGGUUGCCUCCGAUGGGAUCAGGCCUGCAAGCCUGCAAACUAGUUAUAUGCCCUGACUGGGAAUCAAACCCAUAACCUUUUGGAGUAUGGAUGACCUCCAACCAACUGAACCACCCAGCCAGGGCAGAAAUGAGUAGUUUUGACAGAGACCAUAUGGCCUGCAAAGCCUUAAAAAUAUUUACUAUCUGGCCCAAAUCAGAAAGUAUGCUGACCCCUGGACUAUGGGAAUCUAGUAAUUGUACUAAAAGCCCUUUAGAAAUUAAUGGUCCAGAAUAAUUACAAAUAGUUGAUUACUGCCUCUUAAUAUUUUCAUUGCUCAUGUGAAAGAAUUUUGAGCUGUAAAGAUGAGCUGAACUAAAAAUGUCAAUUUAUAGGUUUCCGAUACUGAGCUCUUGCUAGGUACCAGAUGUUGUGUUAACCUUGGGAAUUCCUAUUCUCAGGAAGUUUAUAAUUUGGACCUAAAUGAAGCUAAUUAAUGAAUUAUCUGUAUGAUUUCUUUCUUUUUUAAAAAUUUUUAAAAUUGAUUUCAGAGAGGAAUGGAGAGGGAGAGAGAGAUAGAAACUUCAAUGAUGAGAGAGAACCAUUGAUUGGUUGCCUCCUGCAUGCCCCUCACUGGGGAUUGAGCUCACAGCCUGGGCAUGUGCCCCAGCUGGGAAUUGAACCGUGACUUCCUGGUUCAUUGGUCCAGGCCCAUCCACGCUGACUGGGAUAUCUGUAUGAUUUCUAAUAGAGAUUGACAUACUCUAGAUUGCCUGAUAAAGGGUGUCCCAUCAGAGUUACUCACAUUGUAGCAGUUGUUUCUCUUUCUAUUCCAUAUCAAGUCCAUUACUGUUAUCAGUUCUUCAUUUUAAGUCUGUCAUAGAAAGGUUACUUAAUAGUCGUUAUCAUAGAUCUGAUACCACUUGGAGCCUACACA